UGUGUACUCUCUCCGUUCCAAAAUACUUGACUUCCAUUUGUCCAAAAAUGGAUGUACCUAUAUACUAAGACAUGUCUAGAUACAUAUAUAUUUUGACAAAUAGAAGGCAUGUAUUGUGCAACGGAGGGAGUAGAAU
rnacentral:pre_miRNA from 1 species